UCCUCCGUGGCGCAAUUGGCUAGCGCGUCUGACUGUUACUUCACACUUGUGAUAGCGAUCAGGAGGUUGACAGUUCAAGCCUGUCCGGGGGAG
rnacentral:tRNA from 1 species